rnacentral:rRNA from 1 species
AGCUCCAAUAGCGUAUAUUAAUGUUGUUGCAGUUAAAAAGCUCGUAGUUGGAUUUCUGGAUUGAACGGCUGUCCUUGCGCGCAAGCGUUUGUGUUGGCUUCUUCGGUCCAUCCUCAGGGGGACUUGCGCUGGUAUUUAUUUAUCGGCGUGAGGACGCCUGUCAUUUACUGUGAACAAAUUAGAGUGUUCAAAGCAAGGUGUACUUGAAUACAUUAGCAUGGAAUAAUAAGAUAGGACUUUGGUGGUUCUUUUUGAUAUUUUGUUGGUUUGCACGCCAAAGUAAUGAUUAAUAGGAGCAGUUGGGGGUAUUCGUAUUCAAUUGUCAGAGGUGAAAUUCUUGGAUUUAUAGAAGACGAACUACUGCGAAAGCAUUUACCAAGGAUGUUUUCAUUAAUCAAGA